CAGGAGAAAAAAGUCAAUUUUUUCUUGUCCCCUAAGGUGAAAAUACACAUUGUUGACUGUCACGCCUGUACGCUUUGGCAAAAUGACACAAAAAUUGACAAUCAUGUGUAUCUCAAUUAGAUCUACGAAAAAGUCAAAGAGCGCGUAUCUGUAUAAUGUACGGUAAAAGGGCUAUUUUGCAUUUUUUGCCGAUUCGCACACAUUGGAAUUUCGCUAACUCCUCCUAAGGCUUUCGUUCCACCGGCACCACAUUUGCUCAGGCCAAAUUACACCCCAUGGCCAUUAAAAGUUAUUCAAAUCAUGACGCUGCACCCCACGGUUUACGUUUUAGGGGGCGCCAAAGAUGACCCAAAUAUACAUUACAGUAGACAAAGUAGUUUUGCCCACUGAGUGGCGCCAAAGGGACUUGUCUGUGGAGUCUGUGAGUCACUAUUGGCCGUUUUUGACUACUUUAGAUUUUACCUUUAUAUUUCCUCUUACAAAAUUUUUACCUUGCCUUGCCUGGUAUCAUUUUUUUCAGCACAACCUCACCUGUGUCAAUUUACAGUUAUUUUAUCAUUUUGACAUACUAUAUUUACACAUUGGACCCAAAUUCACACACAAAACAUAAAAUCCGAGUGGAAAAAAGUAACGUUUUUACUGUGAAAACCACAAAUAUGUGUGAUGAACUGUUUUUAAAACUUAAACUUCAAAUAAAAAUUGUAAACUUCAAAACAUAUGCAAAUUUUUAACAAAGAACAUAGUAAUUUACCUCUAUUGACAUCAAAAUGCAGGCAAUGGCCCAGGUGUUCUUUGUAAAAUUAUUUACAAAACACUGUAUAGUCUCACAAAUGUCACUUUUUAUUUAUGCCACUACAAAAAAACAUGAUGUAAAUGAUGCAUGAUGUAAAACAUGAUGUAAAAAACUUGUGUAGAUCCUCCUCUAUGUUAGUCCAUGUGUAAUUUUUCCAUAAUUCUUUGUUUUUUGCAGCAUUUUUGUUAGUGUAACUGCAGAUUGUGCUGACAGUGUCUAUGGCAAAAAAAAAAAAAAAAACUGAAAAUGCCUCAACAUGAACCCCUGGUGGUCUCUGAGGGUGAAACCUGCUAACUGCUGCAGCUCUGUCAGCUUCAGUCUCCCAUGCAGAGCUCGGAGCGCAUGUGUGGCUCUGCACCCUUAGCAGCGUUGCUAACUCCUCAGUAAGGAAAGCCUGCUUCAUGUCAGAGUCUCUAAACUCCAGAAGUCGAUAAAAGUCACUUUCUUUCUAAAAAAAAAGUCGUUAGGGGGUCUGAAAAGUCAUUGAAUCUAACAACAAAGUCGCUAGGUUUGCAACUACGUGUCCCAGACUGCAUCCCUGCUGAGAGUCCCUCCCUCCCUUCUCAUAUUGCAGGAAGAACGUAAGCGCCCGCCCCUUGUCAAUCAGUCACCAUAUAAUUUUGGAUUGGUUGUUGUGGUGAAGUUUUCCACCAAUAGGAGAGAUGUUGUGGUGUGUUUUUUUCUUUUCCUUUGGCAAGCCUUUUCCGCCUGUAAGACCUGUCGCUAAUGUCUGCAUGCUAUGUUUUCCUGUCUCAUACAGCGCGAUCGAGCGCCGAACGUGAUCAAAAUAAGCAGAAAACAAGUAUCGCGGACAUAAUUUAUCAUAACUCUGGUUUUAUUUGGCCUAUCAACACAAUUUAAAAACUGGUAUAUAGGUUGAGGUCCUCACUUUUGAGAUUAGUUGAAACGGAGAGUCAACGAGGCUCCGUCUUGCAGCUACAUCCGGUUAAAUAUGUCAUGUGACUUGAACGCACACACACACACACACACACACACACACACAGACACACACACACACGCACACACACACCGUCUUGCAGCUACAUCCGGUUAAAUAUGUCAUGUGACUUGAACGCACACACACACACACACACACACACACACACACACAGACACACACACACACGCACACUCAGAGUCUGGUUUUUAGCACCUGCAAAAACAUGCUAUUUACAUAUUUGACAAGAAUGCAGAGGCUUCCUUUUGCCCCUGAAAAAAAAUCAAAUUUCAAACACAACUUGACUGCUCAUUUCUCCAAAAGACAACCAUGAAGCUCCAUCCAAACCUGAAGCAGGCAGUUGGUGCAUGUGUACAGUAACCUGAGGGGAGUGAGGUGACUGCUUCUGAGGAGAACAUGAGCAGUGAAGAUUCACCUUGGAGCUAGAACAGGGACGUGUACAUGAUUAUACAGGGGCAGGGGCUCAAGUUUUUUCCAGUCGUUUAUACAAUAUGGAAAUUAAUGUGAAAUUAAAAAACAAAGUAUUAAUAGAAAGGUAAUGACUGUCCUGUGUAGGUGACAGUGAUAUCCAAUAGGCUAGGCACUCACGAGGCUGGCUGUGGCAAGUGUAAGUGAAAGCAACACGCACUGGCAGGAAGAACAGCAAACGCCGAUGAAGGAAAAGGGUCUUUGUAGUGAUGGGCGUUACCAGAGAGGGCGAUGGCCAGAGGACGCGAAUGGGACGGGGAGGCAGCGCGUUGGGGGGGGGGCGCGACACGGCUCGGGCCCGCCAGUGCCCACACGGGGCCCUAGUUAGGGCCCGAGCCAGCUGCAGAGCAGCCGGGCGUAGAGCCCUAUUAUUCCUGAUGAGUUUUUCUUUCUUCUUUCUUUCUUUCUUUCUUCUUAUUUUUCCUCCCCUUUGAAGGGGAAAAUGGCCCACUUCCCACUGGCGAAAACUCAGGAAAUUUGGCAGGAUGACCGGGCCUGGUGAAAAAUUCGAUAUUCUGAAGUCGCCCAAACAAUAAAAUGCAAAAUGGCUCCAUAGCGCCCCCUAAGGUGAAAAUUCACACUAUUGACUGUCACACCUGUACGCUUUGUCAUAUUGACACAAAAAUUGACACACACGUGUAUCUCAAUACGGUCUACGAAAAAGUCAGUGCGGGCGCAUCUGUGAAAUGUACGGUUAGAGGGUUAUUUCGCAUUUUUUGCCGAUCCGCACACAUUGGAAUUUCGCUAACUCCUCCGAAGGCAUUCCUUCCACCGGCACCACAUUUGCUCAGGCCAAUCUACACCCCAUGGCCAUUAAAAGUUGUACAAAUCAUGACGCUGCACCCCACGGUUUACGUUCUAGGGGGCGCCAAAGAUAACCCAAAAAUCCACAGUCUUAAAAGGCUUAUAACUUUUUAUUUUUGUCCUCACUGGCCUCCAAGUUCUCUAGGAUGAUGCAAUGUCCAGCCAUCAACACAUUUGUGAAGGAAUUUUUACUCGCCAAAAGAGCGCCCCCCCAUGGCAGGAGAAAAAAGUCCAUUUUUUCUUGUCUCCUAAGGCGAAAAUUCACACUAUUGACUGUCACGCCUUUACGCUUUGUCAUAUUGACACAAAAAUUGACACACACAUGUAUCUCAAUAAGAUCUACAAAAAAGUCAGUGCGGGCGUAUCUGUCAAAUGUACGGUUAAAGGGCUAUUUCGCAUUUUUUGCCGAUCCGCACACAUUGGAAUUUCGCUAACUCCUCCGAAGGCUUUCGUUCCAAAGGCACCACAUUUGCUCAGGCCAAUCUACACCCCAUGGCCAUUAAAAGUUGUACAAAUCAUGACGCUGCACCCCACGGUUUACGUUCUAGGGGGCGCCAAAGAUAACCCAAAAAUCCACAGUCUUAAAAGUCUUAUAACUUUUUAUUUUUGUCCUCACUGGCCUCCAAGUUCUCUAGGAUGAUGCAAUGUCCAGCCAUCAACACAUUUGUGAAGGAAUUUUUACUCGCCAAAACAGCGCCCCCCCAUGGCAGGAGAAAAAAGUCCAUUUUUUCUUGUCUCCUAAGGCGAAAAUACACAUUGUUGACUGUCACGCCUUUACGCUUUGUCAAAAUGACACAAAAUUUGACACACACAUGUAUCUCAAUAAGAUCUACGAAAAGUCAAUGCGAGCGUAUCUGUUCAAUGUACGGUUAAAGGGCUAUUUCGCAUUUUUUGCCGAUUCGCACACAUUGGAAUGUGGCUAACUCCUCCUAAAUCUUUUGUCCCAUCGGCUUCGAAUUUGCUCAGGUCAAUCUAGACCCCAUGGCCAUUCAAAGUUGUACAAAUCAUGACGCUGCACCCCACAGUUUACGUUCUAGGGGGCGCCAAAGAGGACCCAAAUAUCCACAUUUUUAAAAGUCUUAUAACUUUUUAUUUUUGUCCUCACUGGCCUCCAAGUUUUCUAGGAUGAUGCAAUGUCCAGCCAUCAACACAUUUGUGAAGGAAUUUUUUCUCCCCAAAAGAGCGCCCCCCCAUGGCAGGAGAAAAAGUCAAGUUUUUCCUGCCCAUCGCUCAAUGGCUCAAACGCAUCGCUCUCUCGGCAAAACCGAAAGGAGGAGCAACUUGCCAUUUGGAUAUAUACUAGCUGUGUUUGUGCCCUCACUCAUGGUCCAGACUUUUUUCAAAAAGGACAUGGAGUUUGUCUGCAGCGAGCGUUUUGGUAGAAACUGCGCCUCCCAUUCAUUAUAAUGGUAAAUGACCACAGACAAGUGCGCACACCAUCUUUGGACCUUGAGUGUGACGCGAUCGGGAGGGGUAGGCGGUCGCGCUGGGGGCGGCGCGACACUGCUCGGGCCCGCCAGUGCCCCAACGGGGCCCUAGUUCUUUCUUUCUUUCUUCUUUUUCCUCCCCUUUGAACUGGAAAAUGGCCCACUUCCCACUGGCGAAAACUCAUGAAAUUUGGAAGGACGACCGGGCCUGGUGAAAAAUUUGAUAUUCUGAAGUCGCCAAAACAAUAAAAUGCAAAAUGGCUCCAUAGCGCCCCCUAAGGUGGAAAUUCACACUAUUGACUGUCACGCCUGUACGCUUUGUCAUAUUGACACAAAAAUUGACACACAUAUGUAUCUCAAUAAGAUCUACAAAAAAGUCAGUGCGGCCGUAUCUGUCAAAUGUACGGUCAAAGGGUUAUUUCGCAUUUUUUGCCGAUCCGCACACAUUGGAAUUUCGCUAACUCCUCCGAAGGCUUUCGUUCCACCGGCACCACAUUUGCUCAGGCCAAUCUACACCCCGUGGCCAUUAAAAGUUAUCAAAAUCAUGACGCUGCACCCCAAGGUUUAGGUUCUAGGGGGCGCCAAAGAUAACACUAAAAUCCACAUAUUUAAAAGUCUUAUAACUUUUUAUUUUUGUCCUCACUGGCCUCCAAGUUUUCUAGGAUGAUGCAAUGUCCAGCCAUCAACACAUUUGUGAAGGAAUUUUUACUCCCCAAAAGAGCGCCCCCCCAUGGCAGGAGAAAAAAGUCCAUUUUUUCUUGUCCCCUAAGGUGAAAAUACACAUUGUUGAGUGUCACGCCUAUACGCUUUGUCAAAAUGACACAAAAAUUGACACACACAUGUAACUCAAUAAGAUCUACGAAAAAGUCAAUGCGCGCGUAUCUGUCAAAUGUACGGUUAAAGGGUUAUUCCGCAUUUUUUGCCGAUCCGCACACAUUGGAAUGUGGCUAACUCCUCCUAAGGCUUUCGUUCCACCGGCACCACAUUUGCUCAGGACAAUCUACACCCCAUGGCCAUUAAAAGUUAUUCAAAUCAUGACGCUGCACCCCACGGUUUAGGUUCUAGGGGGCGCCAAAGAUAACCCUAAAAUCCACAUAUUUAAAAGUCUUAUAACUUUUUAUUUUUGUCCUCACUGGCCUCCAAGUUUUCUAGGAUGAUGCAAUGUCCAGCCAUCAACACAUUUGUGAAGGAAUUUUUACUCCCCAAAAGAGCGCCCCCCCAUGGCAGGAGAAAAAAGUCCAUUUUUUCUUGUCCCCUAAGGUGAAAAUACAUAUUGUUGAGAUUCACGCCUAUACGCUUUGUCAUAUUGACACAAAAUUUGACAAUCACGUGCCUUGCCUGGUAUCAUUUUUCAGCACAACCUAACCUGUGCGAAUUUACAGUUAUUUUAUCAUGUUGACAUACUGAAUUUACACAAUGGACCCAAAUUCACACACAAAACAUAAAAUCCGAGUGGAAAAAAGUAACAUUUUUACUGUGAAAACCACAAAUAUGUGUGAUGAACUGUUUUUAAAACUUAAACUUCAAAUAAAAAUUGUAAACUUCAAAACAUAUGCAAAUUUUUAACAAAGAAC
rnacentral:lncRNA from 1 species